GCAUCACGGCAAGCUCUUAGUCCCAGAGUAACCGCUAUGAGAGUCCCGCUGCCUUCUCUUAUAGCUCUGGACCCGACGCAGCAGAAUCAGCUUCUUGGCUGCCGCGACCCGACGUGACAGAAUCAAGUCCCACUCUCCUCUCAGCCCAACCUGUGUUUCUUUAGCUUCUCCACCAGGUCCUCUCGCCUUCCCUGGCAUCCCACGGCCCCAGAGAGGGAUUACAUAUAAUGCAAGGAAUUUGUCCAUCUUCUUCUAUUCUUGUUGAGAUAGGGAAUACCUUUCUAAUUUUGCUAGAAACGCAAAAACUAGUGUCUGGUUGCACGGAAGAAGGAAAGUCACCUUCAGUUUUUGAGAUUUCCUUCUUAUCUUUUGGACUUUAUCCUUCCAACAUCUCCUACUAAACAAAGAUUCCGAGGUCCUGAAAUUUUCUAUCGCCAGCUGAAAGGGCAGAUCGUCGGAGCAAGAGGCUACAGACGCGGAGGAAGAAGGUGUGAAAACACAAGUGAUGCUGCGCGGGACCGCCCCAGGGGCCACGAUUCAAGAGAGUCCGUCGCCUCGCCUGGCCCGAGACACUUGAUUCGGCCGCGUCGUGUUCUGUGGGCUGAAAUAGUGACAGUUUUCUCCUGUAUUCCAGAUUCAUCCUCUCCUCCCAUCCCAGAAAGCCAUCCCAUCUAUGCGUUGGGGAAAGAUAACACAUAAAGGAGUAUGGAAAUUGCGGGAAGGAAAAGGGCUCAACGGUCAAGAUAUAGAUAGAAAGUGAAAUGAAGGCCUGGUACCAGACAAGACAAGGCAAAGGCCCAUCAGAGCCUAGGAUUCCAGGCGCAGGAUAAAAUGUCCAGGACCUUCCUCCCAGACCCUGAAGGAUCAGAACCAGUCAGGACACGUUAGCAUCAGUCUACUCAGAGAGGUUAAAGGAUUUGCCCAAAGCAACAGAGGCAGAAGUGGCAGAAGCAGGACUUUGAGCCCAGGUCCUCUGACUCCAAAGUCAGUGCUCUAUCCACUGUACCACUAGAUCUCUAAGAUCUCGGGCUGGGCUAGCAAGUAUUGAUUCCUGGGCUACCUAUCUUCUUUCAUCAGUUGAAGAAGUUGAUUAAUGAAUGAUGGGAUUUAGGGGGAGAAUGAGGGAGAAUGUAUCAUCUGUAAAAUGAGGAGGUUGGACUAGAAGAUCUUUAAGGUCUCUUCUGGCUGUUCUAAAUCUAUGAUCCUAUAGAGUGAAGGAUAACUACUAGGUCUGUAUCCCAAACAGAUUGUUUAAAAAGGG
rnacentral:lncRNA from 1 species